rnacentral:hammerhead_ribozyme from 1 species
ACCCAGAUGGUGAGUCCCAAAUAGGACGAAAUGCGCAUCCUGGAU